GCCGGGCGUGGUGGUGCACACCUGUAAUCCCAGCAGCUCGGGAGGCUGAGGCAGGAGGAUUGCAAGUUCACCCAGCCUCAACAAAAGCAAGGCCCUAAGCAACUCAGUGAGACCCUGUCUCUA
rnacentral:sRNA from 1 species